GAUUUCCCUCCUCACCCUGAAUGAUGUGAGGAACACUGGUAGGAUCAGUGGGAGGGCUAGAGGGGGUAGGAAUUGUUUCAGCCAAGUCUUAGCAAUCAUGGUUAGGGAUAGGACGCAGCCACGUGGAAGACUGGUCAGCUGCCUGGAAUGGUUAUCUUUGUACUGUGCUUGAAGAGAUCUACUGAUCAUGAGUUGCACCUCAAAAUCACUAAAUGGUGGAGUUGUUUCCCAGCCACAAGCUUGUAUGCUCUAAGAGCAUUUAAUCUGAGAUCUCCUAGCCCUGCUAUUUCCCUUUCCCUCCUGCCCCCCCUUCCCCCUCCAUCCAAAAAAAAGCACCACAUGUGCAGUUUUAAGGAAUUGUUCUGCUGAGAUUAAGACUGGAUUUUCAGUUGCCAGUGUCUUGCUUCUGAGCCUGGAAUAUACUUGCCAGCCCCAUUCGUCACCACUCUUACAAUGCAGGAAGGAAUAGCCACUCUGCAUCCAUUCUCAUUCAGUCUGUUUUUUAGUUAACUGUUACCAUCCCUGCAAGGUUUUUCUUGUUAGGAGGAUGUCUCUAAAAUGAAGCACAGAGCCUUCAGUAGGUAUAUGAGAAGGCUACAAGAACUAACAAAGGCAGAGUUGAGUCCCAUGGUGCUGGAACUUGGUGUUGCUGGUGGUGGCACUCUUUUUGCCUUCUAAUUAGCUGCUCAUUUGCUUCUGUGAGAAAGAGUGAAAAUUGUUGUGUUUGUAAUCUUAGAAACAAAAGCAAGAUUUAUAAUUUUUUCCUGUUCUUUCCUCCCAAAACAUUCCUACUCCUUGCAUGUUCUUUGACUUUACAAAAAUAAACUCAUGGGGAUUUCUAAAUUGAACUUUGCCCUGUCCUUUGGCCAGUUGGAGAGCUUAGAGAAAUUGAGUUGGCCAUUGCCCAGUGGUAGGGCUGAUUGUAGUGAAGGUGGCUGUGUGCUCUGAAAACUGUAUGGAAAGCCUGGGUUUUCCUUUUUGCGUGUGUGCUUCCCCUAAGAACUGAAAAGAAACUUGCAGUGUCACACACCAAUGAUGUGUGUGACGAGGUCUGCAUGCCUUGCUUCUGAGUGACCUGCUUUCCAGUGCCUUCCUGCUGAAGGACACAUGCUGGAGCUGAACCCGGAGCAGUAGUUCAUGCACUAGAUCCUGAUAUAGACGCCAGAUUGGGAAUGUAACAGGGCUGGGUCUUCUCUUCCAGUCCCGCUAGACACCAU